rnacentral:lncRNA from 1 species
GUUGACCAUCAGUAAAUCUUCUUUGGAAAAAUGUCUAUUCAGAUACUCUGCCUAUUUUUUAAUCAGGUUGUUUGCUUUUUUGUUGUUGAGUUGUAUGAGUUCUUUGUACGUUUUGGACAUUAACACCUUAUCAGAUAUAUGAUUUGCAAAUAUCUUCUGCCAAUUUGUUUUGUUGAUGAUUUCCUUUCCUGUGCAGAAGCUUUUUAGCUUGAAGUAGUUCCAUUUGUUUAUUGUUUUUUUAUUUCCCUUGUCUAAGAAGACAUAUCAAAAAGGAUAUUGCUAAGACCAAUGUCAAAGAGCAUGCCACCUAGAUUUUCUACUCCACUUCUGGGUGUUUAUCCAAAGAAUAUGAAAACACCAAUUUGAAAAGAUACAUACAUUUCUAUGUUCAUUGCAGCAUUAUGUACAAUAGCCAAGAUCUGGAAACAAUCUGAGUGCCCAGUGAUGGAUGAAUGCAUAAAGAAGAUGGUGUAUAUAUACAAUAGAAUACUACUCAAUCAUGAAAAGAUGAAAUCUUGCCAGUUGCAACAACAUGGAUAGAACUUGAGGGUAGUAUGCUAAGCGAAAUAAGUCAGACGGAGAGAGACAAAUACAAUAUGAUUUCACUCAAAUGUGGAAGAUUAAAACAACAACGACAAACAAACCUAAGGGAAAUCAUCAUUUCUGGUUAAGAGAAAAAUACAUCAACAAUCUUGUUAGGAAACAGCAAAAGUACGUAUUUUAAUUAUGAAUCACCGCAGUGCUGUCUGGCACAUUUCAUGAAAUUUUACAGCAGUUAUUUCUUGGUAAAUGUUAAAUGAAGGGAAAAGAAAAUGGGUUGUAGCUCUCCUUAAUACUAAAUUUAUUUCUUUAAUUAUUUAAAACCAAGAAAAAAAUGAUUUAUUCCUGACAAGGUAAGCUGAGAUAAUGAAUGGGCAUACAGGUGUACUAACUCUACGUGAGAAGUGGAGGAAUUGAUGAUGAAUAGACACUGUGACGUUUAAUUUUUUCUUUAUAUUGUGGGUAUCAAGAGCAUUCCUACUUGUAUUUUAAUUUCUUAAACGCGUAGUGUUACAAAGGCACUAUUUGUAACUUGAUGGCAGCUUAAAAUGUAGCUGCCCAGACUAGAAAAUUCCUCAUCCUAAGAUCUCUCUAGCAAAUCAGUGUGCUGUUA